CGAUCGAGAUCCGCGCGGUGCGCUGGUGGUGGUGCGGCUAUGCGCGAUGGAUCGUGCGGGCGGCGGAUAUUCUUUAUUGAGGGUGCUGGUCCGCCGGGAAGGUGACCCUGGUUGAGAAUUUGCAGCGCCACAAACAUCUGAUCUUGAAGCGAUGCUGCAUCUGAAACUUCCUUCCUGCUUUUGUCUACCAGCAUGGCAGGUAGAGUGGAAGAUCACCAUGGGCUUAUUUGAGGAAGGACUUUUGUCGCUAUAUUAUUCAUCUCGGCGAUACAGGAGCUCCAAUACCUUGUUCCGAGACGACUGAUCUAAAAGGCCCAGUCUUCCGCAGCUCUCCAGCCACAUUUCAGUUGAUGUUCGCGGAGGAGCACCGGUGAUCGGGAGCCAAGCCUCGAGAGUCGAGACGUUCUCCAUCUCGACCUCGAGUGGACGACUUGGACAGUCGACACGUCCUCUGCUUCAGUCUUCGGGAGCUGGGACAGUGGCUGACCGCUGAUGCUAGAGUUGUUGCCGCUCUGAUGUCAGCCGCCCUGUCACCAAAGUCCCACGGACAAAGCAUAAACCGGCAAGGCGCCAGUGCCGGCUGAGUGAGCGCAGUGUUGCCUAUCGUCGGGCUAACAAAGUGGAUUGUAGUUAUAAAUGGACAAGUAUUGUAUCGAGAGUACAUGAACCUCCAGGCUCCACGAAUCAAAUUAAAACGGUUACAUUUAAGGCGUACCGGUUUCGUCUAUUGACUUCUUCAGCGCCGUAACAAGGUCCUUGUUACGGCGCUGAAGAAGUCAAUAGACGAAACCGGUACGCCUUAAAUGUAACUGUUUUAAUUUGAUUCGUGGAGCCUGGAGGUUCAUGUACUCUCGAUACAAAAGUGGAUUGUAUUUGAAUUGCAGUGCAUUUGCAUUGCUUAAAAUUAACGCCGUUUGUAGCCUGUUUGUGUCGAGUGAAGCUGUUUGUGAGAUGAGGGUUAGUGUUAAGUCUCGUCACAAUUUUUGCCUUCCACUCGUGCCUGAGUAACAUGAUAAUGUGCUGUUGAAAUAAAUUUUAUGGUGAACCUUA